UACGAAGGGGGCUAGCGUUGUUCGGAAUUACUGGGCGUAAAGCGCACGUAGGCGGGUCGUUAAGUUAGAGGUGAAAUCCCGGGGCUCAACCCCGGAACUGCCUUUGAUACUGGCGAUCUAGAGGUCAAGAGAGGUGAGUGGAAUUCCGAGUGUAGAGGUGAAAUUCGUAGAUAUUCGGAAGAACACCAGUGGCGAAGACGGCUCACUGGCUCGAUACUGACGCUGAGGUGCGAAAGCGUGGGGAGCGAACAGG
rnacentral:rRNA from 1 species